rnacentral:lncRNA from 1 species
GCAAAGGCUAUGAAAAACCUCCUGUGUGCUCUGAUAUAUACCCCUGAACCUUGAGGUCAGGGCACAUCCACAGGAGUAUACCUGUUGCUUUGCAAUCCGGAUAAAUCUAAACCCUUUAUUAUAUCCAACCAGGCGUAAGUAUCAGACUCUAUACUGACUUCCCUGGGUGCUUUCUGGAUAGUUGAGGCUCCUUUUAUUAAGAAUGAGAAAAAAAAAAACAAUUUAAAUCAGAGUAGCUGGGAUUAUGGGAUGUGUUGACUCUCAUAAGUAAAAGCUCCAGAGUUGUGCGUGAUUUGGACACUGUAAUAAGUGUAAUUUAAAACUGAAUGCUUUCUUUUAUUUUUCUUGAAAGACAUGAUUUUGUGGAUCAUGCAGUUUUUUUUUGUUCUCUAUAAAACAUGGCAAUAAUUGAGUAGAGGAAAGUAAUUUGAUAAACAGUUUAAAAAUCCAUUCUAACUAAAAUAAGUAGGUAGAAGGCAUAGAGCACAGAAUUGUACCUUCUAGAGAAGUCAGCCCUGAAGAUGAAGUGUAAAAAUGAUAAGAGCACCUAGGAUUAAAAUGAUCUUGAUUUCCAUUAAUAUCAAGCUGUGGUAAAGGUAAGCACUAAUACAUUCUUUAGAGCUCUAAACAAUGGCUAGUUUUAACAGAAUUAUGAUUAUUGAAAUAUUUUCUUUAUGCCCACCAACAAUGCUAUUCAGUAAUUAAUUUGAAAGUUACUGUAUAUGUAUUGGCAAGUUACCCUUUUUAUUGAGAAAGGGCAUCAUCUGCUUCCACAUGGUACCUUUUAAAAAAUCAGCUUUUAAAAAACAUAGGAACUUGCCACCUGCAAAAUAUGAAUUAAAAUUUCAUAAAUAGUUCUCUUACACGUGAAAAACUCCCCUGUAUGCUUGUAUUUUUGCCACACCGACAACAUAAAGCAUAUUUAUUAUUUUUCCUCUGGUGUGUGUUUGUGUGUGUGUUUGUGUGUGUGUGUGUGUGUGUUUGUGUGUGUGUGUGUGUGUGUGCGUGUGUGAGAGAGAGAGAGAGAGAGAGAGAGAGAGAGUGUUAGUUUAUAAUAAAAUUACAAAAGUGCUUCAAGUAGAACUGGUAAAGAAAUAAUAGUUUCUCAUCCUUUCCCCUAGUUUUAAGUUCUGAUUUUUAGUAUCUCAUGGAGUUAGUAUUUCACUUGCUCAUGUAUUUUGAAUUAUUCUUUUCUGUAUUGUCAUGCACUGGACAAAUCAUGAUCAUUUUUAGACAUACUAUAAUAACUUGUUUGUUUUUUCUUUCUAAGGAUGUGUAAACUUCUGUUUCUUUUCUUCUCAAAGGGCUUGUGUUAAUUUUCCUUGGCUAAUUUAAUUGAUCUGUUCUUGUUUCUUUGAGAGCAAACAGAUGCUAUGCAUUAAAAAUCUAGAUAUAAAAUCUUAACAAUGUGUAAUAUGACAUUUUCUCUUAGCCUUGGAACACAGUUCUCUUCAUACAUAACUUAAAAAUCCUAGUUCUUUUCUAUAAAUACCAAGAUAUAGACUGUCUAGGCAGUAUUACUUGUUGCCAGACCUUCUCUAACAAAGGCCUCCUGAAUGCACUUCCCCGUCCUGUUCCGCAGCUCAGAAGUCUAGUCCAGGUGUCCUCCAGGACCAAGAGGGGAAUGUCACUGCUCUUCUCCAGCUCCAUAUGGCAGCCUUUGGUGGCACUGCUCUCAGGCUUUGCUGUCAUCUUUUGGUGCCAUAUUCUCUACCAUGUGGAUACCGGUCAUGUGCAGUGCCAGCCUAGUUCUGCACUCUGGUGCCCGCAUUGCAGUGACCCCUAUAUUUCCAAAUAAGACAUUUUGAGGUCUUGAUGAUGUAGGGCAUCCAUGUUGUAAUUUUGUGAGUGUGUGGGAAAUUCAUCACUUCAAAGCAGUUAUCAUUGAGUGGACGAGGUUUAUUUUAUUGAACAAAUAUUUGCUACUUGUCUACAUAGUCCUGCAAUAGGAUGAAGUGUGCAAUGUUCACAGGAAAUAGGUUAGGUUAAGGCCCUCCCUCCCUUACAGCAAGUCAACUUUUCGGUGGUAAAGAGGAGGUAACCUUCUGGCUACCCAGGUCUGGAAGCUGAUGAACAAAUUUACUGUACUUAGACCUGCCCUCCUAACAUGAGUCCGAUUUCCUUUUCUGUCCCUAGCUGUUCAGCCCCAGAAGGUCAGGUUCCUAGACACAUCGUUUUGAUGACUCUAAUAGUAGUGCCUGGUCAUGAAUAUCAUAGCGUUUUGUGUACAUUAAAGUGAACUCUGACUUUUAGGUGAUACACAUGAACACUUCCCAAGAACACUGACUAAGGAUGUUAAAGGCUAUUUUAUUUAUUUACAUGUCAAAUGUUAUCCCAUUUUCUGGUUUCCCCUCUGGAAACCCCCUAUACCAUCCCCCUCUUCUAUGAGGGUGUUCUUCCACCCACCCACCAACUCUCACCUCCUCACCCUGGCAUUCCACUACCCUGGGGCAUCGAACCUUCACAGGACCAAGGUCAUCUCCUCCCAUUGAAGCCCAACAAGGCCAUCCUCUGCUACAUAUGUGGCUGGAGCCGUGGGUUGCUCCAUGUGUACUCUUUGGUUAAUGGUUUAGUCUCUGGGAGCUCUGAUGGUGAUGGUGGGUGUCUGGUUGGUUGAUAUUGUUGUUCUUCCUGUGGGGCUGCAAACCCAUUCAGCUCCUUGGGUGCUUUCUCUAGCUCCUUCAUUGGGGACUCUGUGCUCAGUCCAAUGGUUGGCUGAGAGCAUCCACCUCUGUAUUUGUCAGGCUCUGGCAGAGCUUCUCAGGAGACAGCUAUAUCAAGCUCCUAUCAACAAGCACUUAUUGAACUUCUUAUACAUGGAUAUUAGGAGUAAAAAGUAAUUUCUUGUGGCUGAAGAGUUGGUUCAGUGGUGAAGAGCACCACCUGCUCUUCUAGAGAACCCAGGUUCAAUUCUCAGCACCUUCAUGGAAGCUCACACAUAUCUGUAACUUUGGUUCCAGUGUAUUUAACACCUUGUUUUGACCUCCACAUUGCCAGGCAUGUAUGCAGUACACAGAUGUGUGUGCAUGUAAACACCCAUACACAUAAAAUAAAUAAUAAUAAAUAAUAAUUAAAACUGGCUCCCUGGAUAAAUGUAGUGAUUAGUUAUAAUUUUUUUUAAAAAGUAGUUGAGGUUUUAAUUUAUUUUAUUUUUUUGCCUCUUCAAUCUUCUAAAACCUGACAGUAGAAUAUACCUGGCUUCUAUGAAUGCCCCAUGUUAAGUGAACAAAACAUUGCAUGGACUGACAUGUGUCUAUGAUCAACACAAAGAGAAACAGAAGCUCUGGCCAGGGCUGCUUUACACAGGACACACUCUGGAAAGUUUUGAAUGAGUAAGAUAAUUACAUGUGGAGAUUGACUUCACUGAGAUGGGAUCUGCAACUGCAAAUCCUCAUUUGGCAUCAGGAGUUGCCUGGAAUCUGUCUAGGAAAGUGGUUUGUGUUCCAGUCCUAAGUUCCUUACUUAGAGACCCACAAAAUGCACUCAAGACAAAUCACUAUAGAAACUGUAUUUUAAUAAAAGUCUUUGGGAAGAUAUGCAAGCUUCUUAAAAAUAGACCGGAAGCCUUCUGUAAGUCCGUUUGAUCUGAACUGUGACCCGGUUUUUAUUUGAGUAGAUAACAGGCGUUUGGCUAAGCCAUUAAACACUUUGCCUAUUUACAUGAACAUAUGGAAUACAGAAAGUUAGAGUUUGGAGGAAGCUCAGCAACAUGCCUGCAUCAGAAUCAGCUUGAGAGUGAUGAGAAUGGGGGCUUUGUUUGAAUUCCCUUGUACCCAACUGAUUAUCUAAGAAGAUAAUCAUGUUUUACCCAAUCAUGGCUACUGAUGAUUCAUAAUCUGGAAAUAGGUCAAAGUAUCAUAUUCUUGGUUUUGUAUGUGGAAACCAAACAAAACACUUGACCUGAAAGUCAAAUUAUUAUUACUGAGGAACAUUUAAAGUGGGACAUAGAAUAGAAGAAGGAUGGUAAGGAAACAGUGCCUACUGUGUGUGUUUGUUGUGAUAGCACACUGAGUUUCACUAACAUUAGAAGGCUUAGGAAGCUUGUAAAUCUUUUAAAAAUGCCAUUGACCCAGUAAGUGGGAAAUGUCAAUUAGCAUGUCUAAUGUGCUUCU